UCGUUGAUGAUCGGUGCUUGCACCGAGAUUCAACAUGGAACGAGUGGCGGACGGGUGAGUAACACGUGGGUAACCUGCCCUUAAGUGGGGGAUAACAUUUGGAAACAGAUGCUAAUACCGCAUAGAUCCAAGAACCGCAUGGUUCUUGGCUGAAAGAUGGCGUAAGCUAUCGCUUUUGGAUGGACCCGCGGCGUAUUAGCUAGUUGGUGAGGUAAUGGCUCACCAAGGCGAUGAUACGUAGCCGAACUGAGAGGUUGAUCGGCCACAUUGGGACUGAGACACGGCCCAAACUCCUACGGGAGGCAGCAGUAGGGAAUCUUCCACAAUGGACGCAAGUCUGAUGGAGCAACGCCGCGUGAGUGAAGAAGGCUUUCGGGUCGUAAAACUCUGUUGUUGGAGAAGAAUGGUCGGCAGAGUAACUGUUGUCGGCGUGACGGUAUCCAACCAGAAAGCCACGGCUAACUACGUGCCAGCAGCCGCGGUAAUACGUAGGUGGCAAGCGUUAUCCGGAUUUAUUGGGCGUAAAGCGAGCGCAGGCGGUUUUUUAAGUCUGAUGUGAAAGCCCUCGGCUUAACCGAGGAAGCGCAUCGGAAACUGGGAAACUUGAGUGCAGAAGAGGACAGUGGAACUCCAUGUGUAGCGGUGAAAUGCGUAGAUAUAUGGAAGAACACCAGUGGCGAAGGCGGCUGUCUGGUCUGUAACUGACGCUGAGGCUCGAAAGCAUGGGUAGCGAACAGGAUUAGAUACCCUGGUAGUCCAUGCCG
rnacentral:rRNA from 1 species